CUACGGGCCGCUGCAGUGAGGAAUUUUGCGCAAUGGGGGAAACCCUGACGCAGCAACGCCGCGUGAGCGAAGAAGGCCCUCGGGUCGUAAAGCUCUGUCAAGUGGGAAAAAAAUUUUUUGAUCAAUAGUCAAAAGACUUGAUGGUACCACUGGAGGAAGCACCGGCUAACUCCGUGCCAGCAGCCGCGGUAAUACGGAGGGUGCGAGCGUUGUUCGGAUUUACUGGGCGUAAAGAGCGUGUAGGCGGUUUAGCAAGUCAGAUGUGAAAGCCCUGGGCUCAACCCGGGAAGUGCAUUUGAAACUGCUUCACUAGAGUAUGGGAGGGGAGAUUGGAAUUCCUGGUGUAGAGGUGAAAUUCGUAGAUAUCAGGAGGAACACCCGUGGCGAAGGCGAUUCUCUGGACCAAUACUGACGCUGAGACGCGAAAGCGUGGGGAGCAAACAGGAUUAGAUACCCGAGUAGUC
rnacentral:rRNA from 1 species